AGAUUCUCUCAUGUCAAUUUGUUUUCCUGCACUGCUUCCUCUAUGUCUUCUUCCUGGUUGUCUGGCACUGGUUUGAAAGCAUUUAUCUCUAUCAGGUCAUCUUUCGUGAAUUCCUCUGGUGUGGUGCCUAUUAGCUCUUGAACUUCUCCCAUCUAGAGGCUGAAUUAGAGACAGUUUCAGGAUAUCGAAACAUCUUGCCAAGACUCUCAAAGCAGAAGAUUGUUAUUAAGCGUUAGUCACUUAGGAAUUUCACUUUGCCAAUACUUUUAAAAAAUCACCUUAUCCUUGAACUGCUGGUAAUAUCAAAGCAUUGGAGCAGGAGCUAUUUCUGGGACUUUGGGUCAUGUGCUGUGAUGUAUAUUGCUUCAGCUGCUCUUCAGACAUUGCCCGUUGGGUAAAAGGACGAUGCCUCCUCCAGCUGCCCAGUGUCAAUUUUACUAGAAGAUGUUGACACCUCUUCUCAUCUACUGACCUGUAGACACAAGGAGCCUAAAGUUCUCUGAUGAAACUCAACCAUGUAGAGUGCAGAGUUGCAGAGACAGAAAGCCAAAUUUCUCCUGAUGAGUUACCGGGAGUUAAAUCUUCCUGAUUGAUGAAAAACCAGUGUUGUAUUUGGGUAAGCUUGUGACAAUGACUCCAAAGAUCAUCCAGAACCUUCACACCAAGGAGGGAUUGGCUAACCAUGGACUGAAAGAAGGGGACAACUGGAUGAGGAGCUGGUAAAGCCAGAAAAUCUCACUGAUCUGAUAUCCUGUCCAGUCUCCUGGGAGAAAGCACCCGCUAGGACCUCUAUAUGAUUAGCAAGGAUAAAAGCGAUGAGAAGCUUUCAAGAAUGUUCUUUCAUCCUGACUAUACACACCAAGACCAGCUCCAAAACUCUCCACAGAAUAUCUGGUAUAGAUGGUUCAGUGUUUAUUAAACCACUACUUAUGUUUUUGCUAUUGAAUAUUGGUUAAGUAAUGCCUACAGUAGAGUAAGUCUCCAUCACAGUCAGCACCCUAUUGCAGCCAGCCCCCUGGAGCUUCUGGUAGACCUGCAACAAACUCCUCUUGUCAGAUGUGCAUUGAAAAAUGUGGGUGACACUGCAAAAAAAAUCAUUUAACUAAAUUAAGUAUAAAUACAUUUUGAAAAAUGUUGGUGAGCCACUGGACUGGUAGAGUGUCUGAUGCUGCUGGAACUUGAAGAUGGAGCAAAGGAGGCAUGAAAGAGCUGAAGGAAGAAAUAGCCCCAUUUGAUAUGGCAAGCGUGAAUAACUUAAACUAAUAGGGAAGAAAAUAACAGGAAAGAACAGCGAAGACGAGAGACAGAGACUGGACGUGUUGUUCUAAAGCACACAUGUCUAAUGAUGAGGAUGUCCUUGAUGAAUUCAUUGUUUGAUAAUAGUCUGUCUUUGUCAAAAACUCAAUCCCAGAAUUCCAUCGAUGUCAGUGUCUAUAUGAUCCAUCUGUCGCCUAAAUGCUGGCUGACUUUGCCUAAGGGGAUAUUAACAUAUGUCACUCUCUAUUCAGAAUGAAAACAGACAGAAAAUAGCAGACCUGUAGGAGAUGAAGAGAUGGAGUUGGGAGACUGGGGAGACUGCCUAGAGUAUCUGCCUAGAGUAUCUGAGAGCAUGCACAGAGAGAAAACUGAAAAGACUGCAGCAUCUCCUCUGCAAGAGGAGUUUACAAACCUGUGGGACAGGAACCACGGCGUCAUAGAGCCUCAUCGUCAUGGGUAAGAGAGUAUUUCCUGAACACCAGUCCUUCCUGCAUCCGCUUCACAUUUUUGGUAAAACUGGAGUAUAUAUUUUAAAUGCAAUUGCUUUUGUGAUAAUAAAGUUAAAAAAUAAGCUGAAUAUAAUAUUAAAUGUCAAAUAAUAUUAAAAUAAACAUAACUAUUAAAAUAAAAUAUGCUCAUCUAAGUAUUACUUACUGUAAUCUUCUAUAACAUCAGGAGUAAGUAAGCAUUCCUUAAGAAGCUCUUAUAUGGUCUAUACAUAUAUGUAUGUCACUGACCAGAAAAAAAAAAAAAGUAGUUUCAACUGACUUGAGGAGAGAGCCUUAACUGAUUAUGAAACAUUAACUGAUUAGAAAGGAUUAAAGAGAAGAAAAACACAUUAUUAUUAUUUUUCAAAGUUUUAUACUUUUUCUACCUUUUACCAUAUUACCUAGGGGAUGGCAAGGACAAGAAAUAGAAAAUACAGAAAAGGAAACAGGUACAAAUUUUCAUAAUACAAUUUUAAAGUGUCACACAGCAAUUGCAUGGGACAGGUUUAAUAGGCAAGAAAAAUUUUAUUUAAGAGCAUUGCCACAGGAGACAAGACUACUGUAACAGAGAAGACUAACUAAACUCAACUCUCAUGGAAAUAAUAGAUGGGAAGAUUUUUAAGCCCUGGGGUUGAACAAAUGGAUUUUUAAGCCCUGGAGUUGAACAAAUGGAAAAGUGCUGGAGGAGUUUAUGGGGAUCUUGGUCAGUGUGGUUAGGACAUCUGUGUUUACUAAUUGCCACUCAUGACAUUAGGCUCCUACCCUCCCACAGGGAUGGGAAGACAGGGAUUUUUUCUUGAUUAUUAUAUUUCAAGGGGAUGGAUUCCUAGUAAAUGAGAAAGAAAAUAUUGUAUUGUAAAAAUGGCAACAGAUUAUUUUAUAUUUUAAAAGAGCCGAGAAAGGAUUUGCAAUAGUAAGUUUUAUAAAGUAAAUGCUCUCAACAAAAGGGAGGUAGGAGCCUAGAGUCAGGGGGGAAAAAACAAAAAGCCUGUCUAAAAUUUAGUCAGGCCCAAGGGAAUGAUCAGGCUAUUUUGAUCAAAAGGAAUGGGAAAGAAACGAAUAUUCAAGUUUCCUUGCCAUUUAUUAAAUGAUUUAAAAGUAUUAUGUCUAAAAAAGUUUUUAGAGCUUCUAAAUUUAUCAUCAAACUUAGAAAAUGUUUAACAGAUCACAUCAAUGCUGUGGAAAACUAAUUUUAGUGACCAAAUCUAUUGAAUUACAUUUUAUUAUGAACAUGAC